rnacentral:pre_miRNA from 1 species
AUGAGGUUUCACCAUGUUGGCCAGGCUGGUCUGACCAGCCUGGCCAACAUGGUGAAACCUCAU